rnacentral:rRNA from 1 species
UAAUACAAAGGGUGCAAGCGUUGUUCGGAAUUACUGGGCGUAAAGCGCGUGUAGGUGGCGAUGUAAGUCGGGUGUGAAAUCCCUCAGCUUAACUGAGGAAGUGCACUCGAUACUGUGUCGCUUGAGUGUUGGAGGGGAUGGCGGAAUUCCCGGUGUAGAGGUGAAAUUCGUAGAUAUCGGGAGGAACACCUGUGGCGAAGCGGCCAUCUGGUCAACUACUGACACUGAGACGCGAAAGCGUGGGUAGCAAACAGGAUUAGAUACCCUGGUAGUCCCCGCUGUAAACGAUGAGUGCUACACGUCCUGGGUAUUGACCCCUGUGGUGUCCAAAUUAACACCGUUNGAACACUCCGCCUGGGGAGUACGGUCGCACAAUAUAACUCANANGAAUUGACGGGGCCGCACNAACCGUGGAACAUGUUGUUUUAAUUCCACGCAACGCNAAGAACCUACCUGCGGUUCNAACGCACUUGAACGGUGCNAAUAAUGUCUUUCUCUCCGGGCGG